rnacentral:rRNA from 1 species
CAGUCGAACGGGCUUACAUGAAACCUAGUGAUUGUUAAGUUAGUGGCGGACGGGUGAGUAACGCGUGGAUAACCUGCCGUAUGCAGGGGGAUAACAGUUGGAAACAGCUGCUAAUACCGCAUAAGCGCACGGUGCCGCAUGGUACAGUGCGAAAAGAUUUAUCGGCAUACGAUGGAUCCGCGUCCGAUUAGCCAGUUGGCGGGGUAACGGCCCACCAAAGCGACGAUCGGUAGCCGGCCUGAGAGGGCGGACGGCCACAUUGGGACUGAGACACGGCCCAAACUCCUACGGGAGGCAGCAGUGGGGAAUAUUGCACAAUGGGGGGAACCCUGAUGCAGCGACGCCGCGUGAGUGAAGAAGUAUCUCGGUACGUAAAGCUCUAUCAGCAGGGAAGAAAAUGACGGUACCUGACUAAGAAGCCCCGGCUAACUACGUGCCAGCAGCCGCGGUAAUACGUAGGGGGCAAGCGUUAUCCGGAUUUACUGGGUGUAAAGGGAGCGUAGACGGCACUGCAAGUCCGGAGUGAAAGCCCAAGGCUUAACCAUGGGACUGCUCUGGAAACUGUGGAGCUUGAGUGCGGGAGGGGCAGGCGGAAUUCCUAGUGUAGCGGUGAAAUGCAUAGAUAUUAGGAGGAACACCGGCGGCGAAGGCGGCCUGCUGGACCGUAACUGACGUUGAGGCUCGAAAGCGUGGGGAGCAAACAGGAUUAGAUACCCUGGUAGUCCACGCCGUAAACGAUGAUUACUAGGUGUCGCGGUACGAAGUACUGCGGUGCCGGCGCAAACGCAAUAAGUAAUCCACCUGGGGAGUACGUUCGCAAGAAUGAAACUCAA